UUUAAGUCAUUAGCUACAAUGAUCAUUUAUUUUUAAUAUGUUUAAAAUAGAACAAUCAAGAAUUUUAGCUAUAUUAAUUAAUAUACUCACAUUAGCCUCUGCUAUGCAAAAUUGAUUUAAAUCACUAUUUCUGUGAAACAGUAAGAUAAACUAAGGAAAAAUUUUAUAAUAAAGAACAGAGAGUUCUGAUCUAUAAGAUUUCCCUUCCGAACUUGAAGUCUGCAAACUACAGCCCACAGACCAAAUCUGGCCAGCCCCUGCCCUUUUAGUGGCCAGUAAGCUAAGAAUGGUUUUUAUAUAUUUAAAUGGUUACAAUUGAAACGAUUAUAAUAAGCACCGACGUGAUACUCUGAAAUUUGCCUUCUGGCCCACAAAGCCUACAACAUUUUCUGUAUAGCCCCUCAGGACAAACUUUGCUAGAUCUUGCUCUGAACUUAAAAAAUUUAAAUAAACAUAUAAUAGAACAUUUUAGAAAUGAAUUACAUAGAAGUCAAAUAGCUAAAUUGUUUUUAAAUGAGCUUAAAACCUUUUAACUUCAAAUCUAUUCCAAAUUUCAAUACUCAUUUAUAAACCCAAUUGUCUUUGUAUUUGACUUGUACAAAAUGUACAUCAAAUUAGGUAAAUAAAGCCUCAUCAUUAUUAAAGGCAAGUGUUUCAUUAGUGUGACUUCCACUCCUCCAAGUUCCUUUUAUUUAAAAUUGUUGCUAUCACAGCAUAAGCUAAAAGUAUAUUAUCUAAAGCUCAAGAUGGUACAACAUAUUGAUGUCACUCAACACACCUGUAUUCCUAAAAUGUUCUCCUGUAGACGUCAAUUCAGAAUAUUUUCAUGCACCUUUAAAUAGAAAAACUAAAGCUAACCAUUACAAAUACAUUGUCUUAACAAUGAAGUCUGUGUACAUUUGAUUUGCCUAUAUGAUUCCUCUAAGGGUCCAAUGAAAUGGAAAUCUGUAUGAUUCUGCAUGACAUUAAAAGCACACAUAUCCUCAUUUUUAAGUAGGGAGUUCAUCUCUGUUUUGAGGUGGGCAUUCUGGUGAAAACUGAAAAACCUGCUACACAUAUUCUAAAAGAGCUGUAACACCAUGGAAGGGUUAAUUUAUUACUCAUUUGUGUAUCUAGACUUGAGCUCAGUGCAUAUCAUAUAAUAGAUGUUCAAAUGGCUGGUUAAUACUUUAUCAAUUACAAUGAAAAUGCUGACACCAUAUAGGACUUGAAUUUUAGGAGACACAUUAGUUCGCUUUGAACUUAGUAAAUUCCUCCUUAAAACUGCCAUAUUCAUUACUUUGUUCAUUCACAUUGUUGUAAGCCUACUUUUCCAGACACUCUUAGCUUCUGAAAAUUGUGAUGAAUAAGACAUACAAGUUUCCUACCCACACAGAAUUUACAGGAGUGGAGUUUGUGGAGGCAAGGCAGAAAUAAAGAAAUUUCAGAUACCAAAAACUGCUAUAUGAUAGACAGAAAUAGUAACAUUAAUUGGAUGGUGAGGGAAGUGCUCUCUAAAGAAUUACCACUUAAAUGGACACGUGAAAAACAGCAAGAGUUUCCAGGAAAAUGGAAUCUCAAAACCAAAGAGAAAAAAGUGAGAUUGUUCAAGUAAUGCUUGAGGCAUACUCAACAAGGCGGAAAGGAGUACAAAAUAAGGGUAAAGACAGGCAGAGGUCAGCUCAUAUGGGGCCUUCUAGCCCGUGAUAUAAAGGCUGGGUUUUAAUAAGUUUUAAUAAUUCAGAUGAAAUGCAGAUUAAUAAAAUAAGGCAUUUAAAGUAGUAUAAUUCUGUGGCAUUUAGUACAUUCACAAUGUUAUGUAACUACCACCUCACCUCUAUCUAGCUCCAAAACAUUUCAUCACAACAUAACUUUUAAGCAGUCACUCCCCAUUCUUCCUUUCCCUCAUCCCCUGGCAACCACUAAUCUGCUUUCUGUCCCUGUGGAUUUACCUAUUCUGGGCAUUUCAUAUAAAUGAAAUCCUAAAAUAUAUGACCUGUGUGUCUCAUUCUUUCACUUAGAAUGUUUUUGAGGUUCAUCCACAUUGUAGCAUGACUAUAUACUCCUUUCCUUUUAUAGCUGAAUAAUAUUACACUGUAUGGAUAUAUACCACAUUAUGUUUAUUCAUCAUCAGUUGACAGCUAUUUGGGUUGUUUCCACCUUUUGACUAUUGUGAAUAGUAUUGCUGUGAACAUUCUCAUCCAAGUGUUUGUUCAAUCUGUUUUCAAUUCUGCUAUAUUUUAGAUAUCUGUCCCUACCCCAAUCUCAUGUUGAAUUGUAAUACCCAGUGCUGGAGGUGGAGCCUGGUGGGAUUUGUCUGGGUCACGGGAGUGGAUCCCUCAUGGCUUGGUGCUGUCUUCACAAUAGCUGGAUUACGUUUAUUGAUUUGCAUAUGUUGAACCAGCCUUGCAUCCCACGGAUGACGCCCACUUGAAAAAGAGCCCGCAUUGCCAAGUCAAUCCUAAGCCAAAAGAACAAAGCUGGAGGCAUCACGCUACCUGACUUCAAACUAUACUACAAGGCUACAGUAACCAAAACAGCAUGGUACUGGUACCAAAACAGAGAUAUAGACCAAUGGAACAGAACAGAGCCCUCAGAAAUAAUGCCACAUAUCUACAACCAUCUGAUCUUUGACAAACCUGACAAAAAGAAGAAAUGGGGAAACGAUUCCCUAUUUAAUAAAUGGUGCUGGGAAAACUGGCUAGCCAUAUGUAGAAAGCUGAAACUGGAUCCCUUCCUUAUACCUUAUACAAAAAUUAAUUCAAGAUGGAUUAAAGACUUAAAUGUCAGACCUAAAACCAUAAAAACCCUAGAAGAAAACCUGGGUAAUACCAUUCAGGACAUAGGCAUGGGCAAGGACUGCAUGUCUAAAACACCAAAAGCAAUGGCAACAAAAGCCAAAAUUGACAAAUGGGAUCUAAUUAAACUAAAGAGCUUCUGUGCAGCAAAAGAAACUACCAUCAGAGUGAACAGGCAACCUACAGAAUGGGAGAAGAUUUUUGCAAUCUACUCAUCUGACAAAGGGCUAAUAUCCAGAAUCUACAAUGAACUCAAACAAAUCUACAAGAAAAAACAACCCCAUCAAAAAGUGGGCAAAGGAUAUGAACAGACCCUUCUCAAAAGAAGACAUUUAUGCAGCCAAAAGACACAUGAAAAAAUGCUCAUCACUGGCCAUCAGAGAAAUGCAAAUCAAAACCACAAUGAGAUACCAUCUCACAUCAGUUAGAAUGGCGAUCAUUAAAAAGUCAGGAAACAAUAGGUACUGGACAGGAUGUGGAGAAAUAGGAACACUUUUACACUGUUGGUGGGACUGUAAACUAAUUCAACCAUUAUGGAAGUCAGUGUGGCGAUUCCUCAGGGAUCUAGAACUAGAAAUACCAUUUGACCCAGUAAUACCAUUAUUGGGUAUAUACACAAAGGAUUAUAAAUCAUGCUGCUAUAAAGACACAUGCACACAUAUGUUUAUUGUGGCACUAUUCACAAUAGCAAAGACUUGGAACCAACCCAAAUGUCCAACAAUGAUAGACUGGAUUAAGAAAAUGUGGCACAUAUACACCAUGGAAUACUAUGCAGCCAUAAAAAAUGAUGAGUUCAUGUCCUUUGUAGGGACAUGGAUGAAGCUGGAAACCAUCAUUCUGAGCAAACUAUCACAAGGACAAAAAACCAAACACCGCAUGUUCUCACUCAUAGGUGGGAAUUGAACAAUGAGAACACAUGGGCACAGGAAGGGGAACAUCACACACCAGGGCCUGUUGUAGGGUAGGGGAAGGGGGAGGGGUAGCAUUAGGAGAUAUACCUAAUGUUAAAUGAUGAGUUAAUGGGUGCAGCACACCAACAUAGCACAUGUAUACAUAUGUAACUAACCUGCACAAUGUGUACAUGUACCCUAAAACUUAAAGUAUAAUAAUAAAAAAAAAGAUAAGGGAAAGCUUGCAGCUUCUUAGAGAUUGGUUAAGUGGUUGUGACCACAAUGCUGAUAGUGAUAUGGACAGUGAAGUCUCAGUUGAAGAGGUCUCAGAUGGAAAUGAGGAACUUACAAGGAGCUGGAGCAAAGGUCACACAUUUUACACUGGAUGCAUUCUGUUCAUGCCUUAGGGAUCUGUGGAAGUUUGGGCUUGAGAAUGAUGACCUAAGGUAUCUGGUCGAAGAAAUUUCUAAGCAGCAAAGUGUUCAAGAAGUGGCGUGGCUGCUUCUAACAGCCUAUGCUCCCAUGUGGGAACAAAGAAAUGACUCAACAUUGGAAAUUAUAUUUAAACAGAAAAUGGAGAGUAAAAGUUUUGAAAAUUCGCAGCCUGGCUGUGUGGCAGAGAAAGAAAAAGCUAUUUUGGGAGAGGAAUUCAAGCAGGCUGUGGAGCAACCACUUACUAGAGAUACUGGCAUAACUAAAAGGGAACCAAGUGCUACUAUCAAGACAAUGGGGAAAAGGCCUCGAAGGCAUUUCAGAGAACUUUCAUUGCGGCCCCUACCACAAGGGGCCCAGAGGCCUAGGGUGGAAGAAUGGUUUGUAGGCCAGGCCCAGGGCCCAUAUCCUGUGCAGCCUCAGGACACUGCUCCUUACAUCCCUGACUCCAGCUCCAGCCUCAGCUCAAAGGGCCCCAGAUACUGCUUAUGCCACCACUCUGGAGAGCACAAGUCACCGUAAGCCUUGGUGGUUUCCACGUGGUGUUAAGCCUACAGGUGCUUACAGCUAUAAAUAUCCCUCCGAGCACUGCUUUCAACGGAUCACGUUUUGGUAUGUUGCAUUUUCAUUUGUCAAAGUAUUUUCUGAUUUCCCUGAUGAGUUGUCCCUUGACCCACUGGUUAAGAGUGUGUGUCACUGGAGAGUUUUAUGUAAGGGAGUGACAUGGUAUGAUUUAUGCUUUAGCAAGACAGUGUUGGCUACUAAGUGAAAAAAGUGUGGAAGGGAAAGUAUAAAUGCUGAAAAGCCAUUGUAAGAGGCCGUUGAAAUUGUCUGUGUGAGAAAUUAUACUGACAUUGUCACAGAGACAGUGCAAGUGGCAGAAAGUAUUCAGAUGUGGGUCAUAUUUUGGCAGUAAAAUCUAUAGGAAUUGUUGAUCAAUUUACUGUUUGGCUAAAAGGAAAAUAAUUCAGGAAUUACUGUUAGGUUUUGGUUUGAAUAGUUGGGUAGUUAAAAGUAACUUUAUUGAGAUAGGAAGACAAAGUUUACUUUUUCUUUGAUGAAGAGAAAGAAUGGUAAGGGAGACAAAUCAAGUUGUUUUGAGAGUUGAGAUUCUUAUUAGAAACGUCAAUACAGCAGUAUUUUAAUGUUCUGAUGUCCAAAGUGAAGGUCAGAACGUUUAUAAAUUUGAGAUCAUCAACACAGAAAUAGUUAUUAUAUGGGACUAGAUGAAAUUACUUAAGGUGAAAGUACUGACUGAGGAAAAGAAAGAGACUAGGAAUGAACCCAAGGAAAAGACACAGAAGAGUAGCAAAUAGAUGCCAGCAGAGGAUUUUAAGCAUGAAAUGCCACUGAGAGGCUAUGUUGCCAAAUCUAAUCUGUUUUUACUUAAAUGACUGUUGAUUUUCAUAAAAGUUUUGAUGAAAUAGUAGGGGCAGAGCUGCAUUGAGGGAAGGAAGGA